GAGCCGCGGUAUAUUGACUGUGCUAAGGUAGCAUAAUAAUUUGUCUUUUAAUUGAAGACUAGAAUGAAUGGUUUAACGAGAAAUUGACUUUUUUAAUAGUAAUACUCAAAUUUAAUUUUUUAGUGAAAAAGCUAAAAUAUAAUAAAAAGACGAGAAGACCCUAUAGAGUUUUAUAUUCUAACUAUUUGUUUUUGAAUAUAGCAAGGAUUGCAAAUAGGUAAAAUAUUUUGUUGGGGCGACAUUUAGAUAAAAAAAACUUUUUAUUUUAAAAAUUUUCAUAGAAAAAUUUUUGAUCCUUAAAAAAGAUUAAAAGAAUAAGUUACCUUAGGGAUAACAGCGUAAUCUUUCUUGAGAGUUCUAAUCGACAGAAAGGUUUGCGACCUCGAUGUUGGACUAAAAUUAAACUAAGGUGCAGUAUUCUUAGUAUUAGGUCUGUUCGACCUAUAAAUUUUU
rnacentral:rRNA from 1 species